rnacentral:lncRNA from 1 species
GCAAAAAGCAAAUAAGAAAAAUCAAAAUCACACCAUUAAAAGGGAUAUGAUAUGAAGAAUAGCAAGCAGGAGCUGCGAAAUGAAAGCAACCUAGUUGUAGAGAUCAGGAUUUGCCAAGAGGUAAGCUUCAACAGCCUUGUACAUUCCGGAGGCCCUUUCUUUGCCAGCCUUAAUUUGCUCUUCAUUGAUCUCAAUGUCACCAAUGGUAUAAUACUUGCUGGUGCUCUUGCAAAUUGAUCCUCCAUCUGGUGCUGCCACAAACUUGGUCUCAUAACUGAUUUUCUCAAGUGUGUUCACGAAAGCAUCUCCUUCGAUCACACUAUAACUGUAUGAGAAGUUCUCCUUGUCUAUUCCUUCAACCUUUUGUUUCGCAUACUUGAAUUGGCUGCCUACAAUUGUUACCAAGCAAAAAUCUUACAUACUAUUGUAUUUCUCAAAAUUAGAAAAUGGAAAGGAAUUCAUGUGGCAAGAAAUGAAAACUAACCUUCACCAAAAGUAAUCUUCUUGAUACUUCCAGGCCCACCAUCUCCUUCAACAAGCUCAGAACUCUUGAUUGCUUGUGGCACAACCUUGGGGAAAAGAUUGUCACCGUCAAGAACAAAGGCCUUGAACAUUUGGCUGGGGGGAUUGAGGUAGCUACCUCCAUUUCAUACGUGACAACACCCAUGAUUCUACAAUAGGAGUUUGAAAAUGUUCAAAUUUGAGGAAGAUAAAACAGAGAGAAAAAGAGGAUGAUUAACUGAGUAUUUUGAGAUGUGGGAAGAAGCGAGAACUAAGAUGGUAUUUAUAGUUGCUAUACUUUCAAAGAAUUUGCAGUGGUCAAGAAAAGCACCCUGCAUGAGAAUUUCCAUGGUAAACGGCUAAUUGAUCAUUUUAAAAUGUUGUACCAACCUAUAGGAGCAAAAAAAAAAAAAAAAUCAUUUGACCAUUUUGUUAAUAGAUGGUGCCAUGGGGCCUUUUGGCAUGUAUACAGUCUGCAAAAUUUCAAUAUAAUAACAGCAAAGUGGAUUUCAGAAGGCAGCAACAAUUUGACAAAAUUAAGUUGUGAAGAUGAAGGCGCCUUUGGUUGACUAACGACUUAAUUAUCGUAAGUGAGAAAAUAAAGACCAAAAGAUAUAAAUAACUAAAUAUAUUUUUUUUUUAUCAAAUUAAAGCUUGAGAAGACUUGGUGGACUAUCUAGAAAGCAAGUAGCGGAAGAAGUAAUAGUUAUUUGGAAUCCAUGUACCCAUGACUUUUUUAAAAUAUACGAAAAUAAAAUAUAAUAAAAUUUAUUUUUAUUUAACAUAUUUAAAUAUUUUUUAUAAAUAUAUCUUUUUUAAAUAUAAAUAUAUUAAUUUUCAUAAAUCUAAAAUAAAAUUUAUAUUAUUAAAUAAAACAUUAAUUUAUUAAAUAUAUAUAAAUUACAAUAACAAAAUCCAUAUUAUAUUAUCCAUCUUUAUACCCGUAUUCGAUAAAAAAAUUUAAAUCAUAUACAUUUUUAUCCCUUCCUUAAAAUUUAAUAUCCAUCCCAUCUCAAUACCAUAAAAAAUCUUAUUCCUAUUGAAUUUAAAGAAGAUUUGACAUCCCUGUUUACCUCCAAUUAAGUUUUUAUAACCUUGAACUUCACUGUUGGGUAUUCGGAACAUCUUGAUUACUACCAUUUCUCAUUGGUUGGAUGAAUUAUGGCUAUUUUUUGUACUUGGGUUUUCUGCACAUGAGCCAUAAGUGAACCGCCAGACGACCCUGCUUUGAAACUUCUCUUUAUCUACAUGUUUGGCUAUUCUUGGAGUUUGAAAUUUUCCCAAUGUUAUAUCAUUUCAUCAAAAAAAUAAAAUAAAAUAAAAUUUCUCUAUACUAUCUGAUGUCACUAUGUCAGCAUCCUUUUGGAAAAUGGUAGUGGCAUUCAUCAUAUCAAUUACCCAAAAUUUUACCAUAAACCCUUUUCUUUAAAAACGUGGGGAAGCCUUUGUGGAUUUAAAUUUCCAUAAUAAUUUGUCUUCCAGGUUGCAUCAAGGAAUAUGUGUCAGAAUAAGUUUCAUAUUUCUUCUGAAACUUGACUUUGUUAUGUUCAAUAUAUAAUUAGUAAAUCUUGAAAGAUGAAGAUGCUGGACUCAUCAUUUUCAAUGGAUGGCCUGAUCUCACAACAAUUUAUUAAUGCAGUUGACAUUUACAGUUCAAGCUUGCAGGUAAUCUCAGACAAACUAUGAACUCUUAUUAGCAAUCUGAAGGCCAUAUCAUAUGGACUGACAGACAACUGCAAAAACUAAAAAAGUAAAAAAGAAAAGGCAAUUCUCUCUCACUCAAAGCGCACAUAUGUUCCACACUGUCUGAUCAUUGAAGUGGAUGCUAUUUCAAUAAUGGGAUUUUUAAUAGGCAUCUGGAUUUGCUAGGAGGUAGGCUUCUAUAGCUUUGAACAAUCCCAAAGCCUUUUCUUUGCCUGCCUUGAUUGCCUCUUCCUUGAGCUCAAAGUCAUCAAUGGUGUAAUACUUACUAGUAGUCUUACACACGGAUCCCCCAGCUGCAGAGAGCUUUAACUUUGUCUCAUAAGUGAUUUUCUCAAGUUUGUUCAUCAAAGCAUCGCCUUCGAUCACGCUGUAACGACACACAAAAUUUUCUUUGUCUAAUGCUUCUACCUUCUGCUUCACGUAAUUGAAUUGGCUUCCUAAGAAUGGAAAGACAAAUAUUAAAAUGGAGCUGCAUAUCUAAGUUCCAAUUCAAUAUAUUAUUCAAAGUAUUUAGUUGCAUCUAUAAAUUAAUUGACUAACCUUCUUCAAAAGUAACUUUCUUGAUGCUCCCAGGCUCACCAUUGCCUUCAAUGUACUCAACACUCUUAAAAGCCUGAGGAACAAUCUUAGGAAUGAGCUUGUCACCAUCAAGGAUACAAGCCUUAAACAUCUUGGCUGGUGGGAUUGUAGUAACAAUCUCAGAUUCAUAAGUGAAAACUCCCAUGAUCACCGAGUGACUUGGAAAUGAUCGAAGAAUGAAAAUAGAAUUGAUUGCUUAUUUUGCAGAGAAUUUUUAGGUGUGGAGAUGUGAACCCGAAGCUGCAUUAUUUAUAGAGUGAGAUUAAAGAACAGCUUUUCUAGGUGAUUGCUUCAUAUUAUAUUGGAUGGUUUCAGUUUGGCGAUGUAAUCAUUAGUUUUCAAUUGACAGUUGAUUCUGGUUUGUGCAUUCUUCGAUCAAGAACAAAUUUAUGGAUCUUGAAAGCAGUCAAUAUCAGAAGAAGAUUAAAAAUAAAGAACUCUAAUAUUUUAAGCAUGGAAGACAUUGAAUCAAGUGCUUCAACUGUUAGGAACUCGUAACUAUGUGGUAAAUUGUAAUUGGAAAUGGAAUGACUAACUUAUAUAAGGGUUUUGAAGUUAGAUUCACUUGCAGCUUUUAGCCACAGGUGAACCAAAGACCCUGCUUCAUGGCUUAUUUCUGCUCUCACUGUUCACAUGUUUUUAUUGUUUAUCAGCUGUCAUAGAUAGUCGUGGACUUGGUCCCACAGCCCAUAUCAAGUUAUUAGCCUGGUUCACCUCAAAAGAUUUAUGACAAAAGAAAAAGAAAUUGCAAAUAAUAAAAGCUUGAUUACUAUAUUUUUUUCAUUUCAUAUAUCAAAGAUAAUACAACUCAAACACCUUAAUUAUAUAAUAAAAAUAGAGAUGAUCACAGCCAGAGACCAUCAUUCUUAUUAGCCAUUGAAGGAAAGUUUGUCAAAAAGCAAAAAAGAAAAAUCAAAUUCACACCAUUAAAAGGGAGAUGAUAUGAAGAAUAGCAAGCAGGAGCUGUGAAAUGAAAGCAACCUAGUUGUAGAGAUCAGGAUUUGCCAAGAGGUAAGCUUCAACAGCCUUAUACAUUCCGGACGCCCUUUCUUUGCCAGCCUUAAUUUGCUCUUCAUUGAUCUCAAUUUCACCAAUGGUGUAAUACUUGCUGGUGCUCUUGCAAAUUGAUCCUCCAUCUGGUGCUGCCACAAACUUGGUCUCAUAACUGAUUUUCUCAAGUGUGUUCAUCAAAGCAUCUCCUUCGAUCACACUAUAACUGUAUGAGAAGUUCUCCUUGUCUAUUCCUUCAACCUUUUGUUUCACAUACUUGAAUUGGCUGCCUACAUUUGUUACCAAGCAAAAAUCUUACAUACUAUUAUAUUUCUCAAAAUUAGAAAAUGGAAAGGAAUUCAUGUGGCAAGAAAUGGAAACUAACCUUCACCAAAAGUAAUCUUCUUGAUACUUCCGGGCCCACCAUCUCCUUCAACAAGCUCAGAACUCUUGAUUGCUUGUGGCACAACCUUGGGGAAAAGAUUGUCACCGUCAAGAACAAAGGCCUUGAACAUCUUGGCUGGGGGGAUUGAGGUAGCUACCUCCAUUUCAUACGUGACAACACCCAUGAUUCUACAAUAGGAGUUUGAAAAUGUUCAAAUUGGAGGAAGAUAAAAACAGAGAGAAAAAGAGGAUGAUUAACUGAGUAUUUUGAGAUGUGGGAAGAAGCGAGAACUAAGAUGGUAUUUAUAGUUGCUGUACUUUCAAAGAAUUUGCAGUGGUCAAAAAAAGCACCCUGCAUGAGAAUUUCCAUGGUAAAUGGCUAAUUGAUCAUUUUAAAAUGUUGUACCAACCUAUAGGAGCAAAAAAAAAAAAUCAUUUGACCAUUUUGUUAAUAGAUGGUGCCAUGGGGCCUUUUGGCAUGUAUACGGACUGCAAAAUUUCAAUAUAAUAACAGCAAAGUGGAUUUCAGAAGGCAGCAACAAUUUGACAAAAUUAAGUUGUGAAGAUGAAGGCGCCUUUGGUUGACUAACGACUUAAUUAUCGUAAGUGAGAAAAGAAAGACCAAAAGAUAUAAAAAAAUAAAUAUAAUAUUAUAUAUAUAUUUAUUCUAUCAAAUUAAAGCUCGAGAAGACUUGGUGGACUAUCUAGAAAGCAAGUGAAAGAAGUAAUAGGUAUUUGGAAUACAUGUACCCGUGACUUUUUUAAAAUAUACGAAAAUAAAAUAAAAAUUUUUUUAUUUUUAUUUUGCAUAUUUAAAUAUUUUUUAUAAAUAUAUCUUUUUUAAACAUAAAUACAUUAAUUUUAAUAAAUCUAAAAUAAAUUUUAUAUUAUUAAAUAAAAAAAUUAGUUUAUUAAAUAUAUAUAAAUUACAAGUAUAAAAUCAAUAUUAUAUUAUCCAUCUUUAUACCCGUAUUCGAUAAAAAAAUUUAAAUCAUAUACAUUCUUAUCCCUUCCUUAAAAUUUAAUAUCUUGAAUUUAAAGAAGAUUUGACAUCCCUUUUUACCUCCAAUUAAAUUUUUAUAACCUUGAACUUCACUGUUGGGUAUUCGGAACAUCUUGAUUACUACCAUUUCUCAUUGGUUGGAUGAAUUAUGGCUAUUUUUUGUACUUGGGUUUUCUGCACAUGAGCCAUAAGUGAACUGCCAGACGACCCUGCUUUGAAACUUCUCUUUAUCUACAUGUUUGGCAAUUCUUGGAAUUUGAAAUUUUCCCAAUGUUAUAUCAUUUCAUCAAAAAAAUAAAAUAAAAUAAAAUUUCUCUAUACUAUCUGAUGUCACUAUGUCAGCAUCCUUUUGGAAAAUGGUAGUGGCAUUCAUCAUAUCAAUUACCCAAAAUUUUACUAUAAACCCUUUUCUUUAAAAACGUGGGGAAGCCUUUGUGGAUUUAAAUUUCCAUAAUAAUUUGUCUUCCAGGUUGCAUCAAGGACUAUGUGUCAGAAUAAGUUUCAUAUUUCUUCUGAAACUUGACUUUGUUAUGUUCAAUAUAUAAUUAGUAAAUCUUGAAAGACGAAGAUGCUGGACUCAUCAUUUUCAAUGGAUGGCUUGAUCUCACAACAAUUUAUUAAUGCAGUUGACAUUUACAGUUCAAGCUUGCAGGUAAUCUCAGACAAACUAUGAACUCUUACUAGCAAUCUGAAGGCCAUAUCAUAUGGACUGACUAACAACUACAAAAAAAAAAAAUGUAAAAAAGAAAAGGCAAUUCUCUCUCACUCAAAGCACACAUAUGUUCCACACUGUCUGAUCAUUGAAGUGGAUGCUAUUUCAAUAAUGGGAUUUUUAAUAGGCAUCUGGAUUUGCUAGGAGGUAGGCUUCAAUAGCUUUGAACAAUCCCAAAGCCUUUUCUUUGCCUGCCUUGAUUCCCUCUUCCUUGAUCUCAAAGUCACCAAUGGUGUAAUAUUUACUAGUAGUCUUACACACGGAUCCCCCAGCUGCAGAGGGCUCUAACUUAUAAAAGGGUUUUGAAGUUAGAUUCACUUGCAGCUUUUAGCCACACGUGAAUCAAAGACCCUGCUUCAUUGCAUACUUUCACUGUUCACAUGUGCAUAUUGUUUAUCAGCUCUCAUAGACAGUUGUGGACUUGGUCUCACAGCUGAUAUCAAGUUAUUAGGUGGAAAUUUUAGGCAACAAAUGUCAAAUUCUUUAUCUGACUUUAGGUUCAGAUCUUGGAAAUAGAAGGGAUUUGGAUUUCGUCAUCAAUCCUGAUUCAGGUCAAAAAAUUUAUGACAAAAAAAAAAAGAAAUUACAAAUAAUAAAAGCUUGAUUACCAUAUAUUUUUCAUUUCAUAUAUCAAAUAUGAUACAACUCAAACUUCUUAAUUAUGUAAUGAAAACACAGAUGAUCACGGCAAGAGACCACCACUCUUAUUAGCCAUUGAAGGAAAGUUUGGCAAAAAGCAAACAAGAAAAAUCAAAAUCACACCAUUAAAAGGGAUAUGAUAUGAAGAACAGCAAGCAGGAGCUGUGAAAUGAAAGCAACCUAGUUGUAGAGAUCAGGAUUUGCCAAGAGGUAAGCUUCAACAGCCUUGUACAUUCCUGACGCCCUUUCUUUGCCAGCCUUAAUUUGCUCUCUUUCAUUGAUCUCAAUGUCACCAAUGGUAUUAAUACUUGCUGGUGCUCUUGCAAAUUGAUCCUCCAUCCUGGUGCUGCCACAAACUUGGUCUCAUAACUGAUUUUCUCAAGUGUGU